GGUCCAAUAGUGUAGAGGUUAUCACACAGGAUUCUGAAAAAAAAAAAAGAGAUUUCCUGUGACCCAGGUUCGAGUCCUGGUUGGACCU